rnacentral:tRNA from 1 species
AGCUUAGUUGGUAGAGGUCUCCACUGGAAAUGGAGGGGUUCCUGGUUCGAUACCAGG